UUAUUCUGGUCUUUAUAAAAUAAUAUCCUAAGUAGCCUAUUAGCUUUAAGGUCAAAAUCUUUGUCUAUUUUCUAAAUCUGUUCUCUUCUCUCUCCCCCCUCCCACUUCCUUUCCUUUCAUUACCCUUUCCUAUCAAUUAUCUCAUCCUUGCCUGCUGCCCAUCUGAGCAAGCCAGCAGGACCCCCUCAGUGCCCGCCAGAUUGUCUCAUUCAGCUAGCUCUCAGGUUGCUGCUGAUUGCCGUCUUUAUUCAUUACCAAAACACUUGCUACAUGGUGCUUGGGCCCUGGCAACCAAACUCUAAAUCCUGCCAGUGAGAAGGUAAUUACUAGUACACCACAAACAGAGAAUGGAGUCUGCUGUGAGUUGUUAGAAGCAGCCGUGAGAUAGACCCGGGCUAUUUUCCUGCAACUGUAGCUGACUACUUGCUUGUCACUUGCGUCUAAUUAUAUUUUAAGAACUGGAUGGAGUUUGAUGACCUGUUUAGUCCCAAGAUUCUAUCACACCUCUCAGAUGUGUAAAAGUAAAAACAAACAAACAAACAAACAAACAAAAAACAGAAAACAAACACCUGUCCUGGGGAGAGAAAAAGCAGAGAAAUCAUUGUAAUUCUAUCAGGUCAGAUGAACUGGGAGAAGACCGAACACAGAUAUAAUCCUCCUGCCACACCAGGUGAGGAGUACAAGAAGUAAAGAAAGACAAGCAGGGAGUGGGACGCAGCUAAAGGAGAGGCCAACAGAUGAGCAGAAUGUUUCUCCAUUCAGCCUCUGCAAUAGUUACUGGACAUAAGUCCCAGGAGCCACACUGGAGAAAAGUAGAAAACUGUGCACUCCUGUACUUAACCUGGUCGCCAAAAGGUUUGAUCUGGACAUUCACAAUGAAAGUUUCAACAUAUCCAUCUAGCAUAACACGUAUGUUCUAUGAAUAUAUAUAAGAGCAGGGUAUUUUAAAAGAAAUAUAGACUUACUGAUUCCAGUAGUAGUAGUAAAGGAAAUUUAGAAAUUUCAAGAUUGGAACAAGAGCAUCAAAGACCAAGAACUCAGCAAAUCUACCCUUGGCAACAUAAGCAUGUAUUUUGGAAGAAAAUGAGAAAAAGCCCCAAAGCCUUACUUCACACAGCUGUUCAGGCAGACCUUGGGUAGGAGAUGCCAGUUAGUUCAGAAGAUGCAGUGUGUUCAAGCAGCAGUGGAAAGGACUAUUCACAUUUCUACCCACUGAAAUGCAGGACAUGGAAAUGGAGGUAUUAAUAUCCGUUUGACUUUCCUACUUUAAUAUCCUCACUGAGAGAUCACUGCCCAGACAUCAAAAUGUUUUUAGUGGUGAUGUAAGGCUUGUUGCAAUAGAUAACCAAAAGUCAUGACGUAGGAGCAGGGCCCUAACCUUAACUUUUCUACAUUAUUGAUUUUCAUUUUUGUUUGUUUGCUUGUUUUACACACCCAAACACAUAGUUCUGGGGUCAGGCUGCUUAUAUGCAUUUGUGAAGGGCUUAAUAGAAUAAGGCUAUUUAUAUUUUCUGAGAGAAGGGAAAGUUGCAAGUGCCUUCAUCACAGUGACAGACCUUAGCAAUAGAAAUGAUGCCACUGAUGGUUAUGAUCCUGGUGCACAUUCACUGCACCUGAAAAGGUUGCUUUUUACCUCUGUCUUUACCCUUUUACCACUACCUUUCAAGUGUACCAUGAUUACGACCAUAAGCUGAUUCUUCUCUUUUUCUCCUAAAGACAAGCAAUUUGUUUUCUCAACUGUGAUGAUGCCCUUUCUCCUGGCCUGGCACAUCACUUAAAGUUGGUUGGCAUGAUGUAAGGGAGGGGAGAGGCUGGCCUUCAUCAGCAAUUCUGCACAGAUAUGCCGAUGUAGAAUAAAAGCAGCCUUUUCCACACCAGGCUGCUUAUUAAACAGCUCUUAAUGGUCUGCAAAACCUUCCCUCUUCCCUCUCCCUCCAAAAAUGUGCAUUGCUUUAUGGGGCUUGUGGGAACUACAGGCUGACUACAUAGAACUAGAAAAGGAUGAAUUCUAAUUAAGAGAUAAUGUCAGUGGAAUAGAACUUUGUCACAGGAUAAUGAUCCCCUGCUGUUAGAUAAAUAUGGAAGCAAAACUUAGGCAGUUUUUGAAAAUAAACAUUGAGGUGAAGCCAAGAUGUUUAUACUCAGAAAGGGAAACAUUCAUCCCUCUGCAGUAUUUCUAUUUCAUGGGGUUUUUUAAUUAAACAAAACCAAUCCUUUCCUCCCACCCAACAAAAAACAUCUUCAUUAAUGACCUUAGUCUUGCAAACCAUCACGAAUAUAAGAUCCUCUCUUAAAUCAAUAAGAGAGUUGUAAAGCAGUACUGUAAGAUUCACUCCAUGGAAGUAAUAGUUUUGAGAAUAUGAUCAAUAACACUUAGCAACUCUUACUACUAUUUUUUCCACUUAUUAAUAAUCAAAUUACUAGCUAUAAUGAGCCAAACUACCUUUUGGCAAAACUCCUUCUUGUCAGUGGAUGUAUGCCAGCAGGCAAUUUGGUUCAGUGUUUUACAUAUACUGUAUUCAGUGGGCAAAUUCUGAUCUGUUACCUGUUUAUAUUUGGAAUAUAUCAACACAAGUCAGUGGAAUUACAAAGUGAAAACUAUGCAGGAUCUGUUUAUUAAUGCUCUCACAGUGUCUUUAAUUUACAAUUUCUUGGAAACUAAGAACAAAAUACAGCAUGAAAAAUAUAGUGACAUUUUAAGAUCUGAAGCAAAAAGCCCCACAAGCUCUAUGGCAGUCCCAACCGUAGGCUGUGUGUUUUGCCCCCUGUUGAAGGGGAAAGCCAUUCCCCUGUUCUUGCUCCCCUGGGUUGUCUGUGAAUCUCGUAAGUGAUACAAUUCAGGUAUACAUGUACUUGUAGGUCUCAGGUCCUCGGAUACUUUUUGGGUAAAUUAUACAAAUGAAUGUCACUAACAGACUGACGAACAGGCUUGCCCCAGUACAGCUUCACCUCGCUGAUGCCAGCACUGGAGUAGCUUCUCUACUACCACCAGGAAGAUGGCAGGAGCAAGUAUUUCAAGGAUGCCAUCGAGGCAUCGAAUGCCAGCAAGCAAGCAGCCCAGACAUGCCAGCAGUUGAAACUCAUCUCACAUGACAGAACCUACAGCACAAAGAUUCAGCUGCUUCCUUUCAUAAUUUAGGCUCCCUUCUACCCCGAAUUACAGAUUCUGUCAAUUGACAGUAAAGUGUCAUGCAUGUUUCUCCAAGAAUAAGCAUACUUUUAGUUAAAUUGAUUAAAUGAUUUUUGUACGUUUCUGUAUUGUUUUUCUGUUCUGUUAUUUUCCCAAGAUGGUAUCUAGCUGCCAGAAAUAACACUCAGGAAAAUUCAGAGGAGUGUUUUUUUCUUUUUCCUUUUUUUAUUCUAUAUGAGCAUGUAUAAAAUAAAAUCAAUUAAAAAGCAGGAAUGCAAUUUCUAGUGGCACUUUGCAAUGACUGAUUAAUAUAUUUUGAAUAUUUUCCACUGUAAAUUUGCUUUGCUUGAUUUUCUUCCCUUGGAAACUGCUAUUUAGUAAAAACUAAUCAACAUGUCAACAUUUUGUU